CGUGCCGCGCUGCCAUAAAGCAGAGUCCAGGCGUCGCAAACGGAAGGCGGUCGUGGACUCGAGGCAGCGCGAACUCCGGUGUGCGUGUCAGGGUUCUUCACACUUCGCAAAAGGCUGUGAUAUAACCUGCAGUUUUCGGCAAGACAGUGGAUGCUGCAGCAGAAGUAUUUAGCUCGAAACAGGACACUUUCCCAGGGUCCGUGGACAGCAGCUGGAGGAGAGACGGAAAUGGAGCCUUCAAGAAAGAGAAAACCUUCAUCAAUGUGGGGAUAUUCUGAAAUGGGUACAAACCAACAAGGUUUGUAUGUCUUAAUGGGUAUUUAAUGGUGUCAUUGUGCAUGCUCAAAUAAUUAUCAUAAUCACCAUGCGCUUUACAUCUUAUUGCAUUUUAAUGCUUAACAUGGGUGUUAAUCAGCACACAUGUAGAUGGAUUAAGGACUUCUUAACAAACCGACCACUCCCCAACCCUGACACUCGGCACUGGAGCUCCACAUGGCUGCAUGCUGAGUCCUCUUCUUUAUUCCUUAUAUACCCAGGAUUGUGCACUUACACCUAGCACAGAUACAAUCAUAAAAUUUGCAGAUGACACCACUGUGGUAGGACAGAUACAUAACUGGGAUGAGGUCAGCAAAAUGGCACUCAACACCUCCAAAACAAAGGAGCUGAUUAUCAGCUUCAGAAGGCAAGAAGAGGAACCUGCUCCUCUAUACAUCAAAUUAGACAUAGUGGAGAGAAUGUCUAGCUUUAAAUUCCUUGGCACACACCUCUCCCAGGACCUCACAUGGUCUGUUAACACAACUUCUCUGGUGAGGAAGGCACAGAAGUGGCUCUACUUCCUAAGGAUGCUGAGGAAGGACAGCUUGUCCAAGCAGCUGUUGCUGUCCUUCCAUCACUGCUCUGUCGAAAGGAUACCUACCUGUGGCAUCCUGGUAUGGUACUCGGGCUGCUCUGUGGCUGACAAGAAGGCUCUUCAGAAAGUCAGCAAAUUGGUACAAAAAAAUUACCAACACCCAGUUACUGUCACUAGAGGAUAUAUACAGAAGUUGAUGUUUACAAAGGACCAAAAAAUAAUAAUUAGGGACCCAUCUCACCCAGGCCACCAUCUUUUUACUCUGCUGCCUUCUGCAAAGCUUUAUAAUUCUGUUGAGACUACUGAAAAGCUUCUACCCGAGUACAAUUAGAGAACUAAAUUUUGUUAAAUAACUCUUUACUGUCUCGAAGUGCUUUUGAUUUUAUGUCUUUUAUUGUCACCCAUGGCAUCAAUGGGACAAAAGUGCAGCAUCUUGGAGACUCAUUGCAAUCACUGUAAAAGGGAACUACUCCACUAUUUACUAUUUCUAUUUCUCCGCCUUCAAUGUUUUAUUGGUUUUAUUGUUUUAUAUUAAUGCAUGUAUAUAGUUCAAAAUGCAGAGUAUAUGUUGAAUCUGUUGUUGAUUUUGUUUAUUAUUAUUAUUAUAUGUACAAUUCAGGGGACACACUAAUAUUAUUUUGUACAUCUGUGUAAUGACAAUAAAAGGCUUUCUAUUCUAUGCUUCCUGUACCAGAAGGAACUUGUGUACAGCAGUAAUACCUCAUCAAUGCUUAGGUAUUACCGAGCUGUCCAUGAGAGGACACAGCCUGCCAGAAGGCAAAACACAACCAAAAGUAAUAAUCUAGUAAUAGGUUUCUUUAUCAAAAUCAUGUGUUAAGUAC